UACAGAGGUCUCAAGCGUUGUUCGGAUUCAUUGGGCGUAAAGGGUGCGUAGGUGGCGGGGCAAGUCUGGUGUGAAAUCCCGGGGCUCAACCCUGGAACUGCACUGGAUACUGCCUUGCUAGAGUACUGGAGAGGGAACUGGAAUUUACGGUGUAGCAGUGAAAUGCGUAGAUAUCGUAAGGAAGACCAGUGGCGAAGGCGAGUUCCUGGACAGUUACUGACACUGAGGCACGAAGGCCAGGGGAGCAAACGGG
rnacentral:rRNA from 1 species